GACGAACGCUGGCGGCGUGCUUAACACAUGCAAGUCGAACGGAAAGGCCCUGCUUUUGUGGGGUGCUCGAGUGGCGAACGGGUGAGUAACACGUGAGUAACCAGCCCUUGACUUUGGGAUAACUUCAGGAAACUGGGGCUAAUACCGGAUAGGAGCUCCUGCUGCAUGGUGGGGGUUGGAAAGUUUCGGCGGUUGGGGAUGGACUCGCGGCUUAUCAGCUUGUUGGUGGGGUAGUGGCUUACCAAGGCUUUGACGGGUAGCCGGCCUGAGAGGGUGACCGGCCACAUUGGGACUGAGAUACGGCCCAGACUCCUACGGGAGGCAGCAGUGGGGAAUAUUGCACAAUGGGCGGAAGCCUGAUGCAGCAACGCCGCGUGCGGGAUGACGGCCUUCGGGUUGUAAACCGCUUUGGCCUGUGACGAAGCGUGAGUGACGGUAAUGGGUAAAGAAGCACCGGCUAACUACGUG
rnacentral:rRNA from 1 species